AUGAUAAGAGAGAAAACAUCUCAUAAGUAGAUUUACAGUCUACCACCUAAAAUUCAGCCAUCUUACCGCAAAAAUGAUUAUUCUCAACAAACCAUAAGGACAUUGGUACUUUAUACUUCAUAUUUGGAGCAUGAGCAGGAAUAGUAGGAACAUCAAUAAGAAUACUUAUUCGUGCUGAACUUGGCCAACCCGGAUCUCUAAUUGGGGAUGACCAGAUUUAUAAUGUUAUUAUUACAGCUCACGCAUUCGUAAUAAUUUUCUUUAUAGUAAUACCUAUUAUAAUUGGUGGAUUUGGUAAUUGACUUGUUCCACUAAUAAUUGGUGCACCAGAUAUAGCAUUUCCACGAAUAAAUAAUAUAAGUUUUUGAUUACUACCACCUUCACUAACCCUUCUUCUUACAUCUUCUAUAAUAGAUAAUGGUGCUGGUACAGGAUGAACAGUUUACCCUCCUCUAGCAGGAGCUAUUGCACACGGGGGUGCAUCUGUAGAUCUAGCUAUUUUUUCACUGCACUUAGCAGGUGUAUCAUCUAUUCUUGGUGCAGUGAAUUUCAUUACAACAGCAAUUAAUAUACGAUCAGAAAGUAUAACUUUAGAUCAAACACCUUUAUUUGUAUGAUCUGUAGCUAUUACAGCAUUACUUCUCCUUCUUUCACUUCCAGUUUUAGCAGGAGCUAUUACUAUAUUAUUAACAGAUCGAAAUUUAAAUACAUCAUUCUUUGACCCUGCAGGAGGGGGUGACCCAAUUCUAUAUCAACAUCUAUUUUGAUCCUUUGGACACCCAGAAGUUUAUAUUUUAAUUGUACCGGGGUUCGGAAUUAUUUCACAUAUUGUAUGUCAAGAAAGAGGAAAAAUUGAAUCAUUUGGAACAUUAGGUAUAAUUUAUGCUAUACUAUCAAUUGGACUAAUAGGGUUUAUUGUAUGAGCACAUCAUAUAUUUACAGUAGGAAUGGAUGUUGACACACGAGCAUAUUUUACAUCAGCAACAAUAAUUAUUGCUGUACCUACAGGAAUUAAGGUAUUUAGAUGAUUAGCUACAUUAUAUGGAACUAAAUUCAAGUUCAAUCCACCAUUAUUAUGAGCUCUAGGAUUUAUUUUCCUAUUUACAAUUGGUGGAUUAACAGGAUUAGUAUUAGCAAAUUCAUCACUUGAUAUUGUAUUACAUGAUACAUAUUAUGUAGUAGCCCACUUUCAUUAUGUAUUAUCUAUAGGAGCAGUAUUUGCAAUUAUAGGAGGUGUCAUUCAAUGAUAUCCACUAUUUACAGGAUUAACUAUAAAUAAUACAUGAUUAAAAAUCCAAUUUACAAUUAUAUUCAUUGGAGUAAAUUUAACAUUCUUUCCUCAACACUUCCUAGGAUUAGCAGGAAUACCUCGACGAUACUCUGACUACCCAGACGCAUAUACAUCAUGAAACGUAGUAUCAAGAAUUGGGUCUACAACUUCUAUUGUAGGAAUCAUUAUAUUCAUUGUAAUUAUAUGAGAAAGAAUGAUUACAAACCGAGCAAUUAUAUUUAGAGCAAACAUAAGAAGAUCAACAGAAUGACUACAAAAUAACCCUCCUGCAGAACAUAGUUACUCAGAAUUACCAUUAAUCUCUAGAUUCUAAUAUGGCAGAUUAGUGCAGUAGAUUUAAGCUCUACAAAUAAAAGUUUGACCUUUUAUUAGAAAAUAUUUAUUAAUGGCAACAUGAUCAAAUUUAUCUCUUCAAGAUGGAGCUUCACCAUUAAUGGAGCAAUUAUCAUUCUUUCAUGUUCAUACUAUGGUCGUAUUAUUAUUAAUUACAGUAAUUGUAGGUUAUGCCCUAAGUUAUAUCUUAUUUAUUGCCUAUACUAAACGUAAUAUACUUCAUGGACAUUUAAUUGAAACAAUCUGAACAGCUUUACCAGCAAUUACAUUAAUUUUUAUUGCCCUUCCAUCAUUACGACUAUUAUAUUUACUUGAUGAUUCAGUAGAUGCAAUAAUUACAAUUAAAACCAUUGGACGACAAUGAUAUUGAAGAUAUGAAUAUUCAGACUUCAUAGACGUAGAAUUUGACACUUAUAUAACACCAGAACAAGACCUAGAAAAUGAUGGAUUCCGACUACUAGAUGUAGAUAACCGAACAAUCCUACCAAUAAAUACAGAAGUACGAGUAUUAACAAGAGCAUCAGAUGUUCUUCACUCAUGAGCAGUUCCUGCAUUAGGGGUUAAAAUUGAUGCAACGCCAGGUCGGUUAAAUCAAGGAACAUUCACAAUAAAUCGACCUGGAUUAUUCUUUGGACAAUGCUCAGAAAUCUGUGGAGCAAACCACAGAUUUAUACCAAUUGUAAUUGAAAGAACUUCAGUAAAUUUAUUUAUUAAGUGAUUAUCUAAGAUAAUUUAA